GAUAAACGCUAGCGGUGUGCAUUAUGCAUGCAAGUCGAGCGGUAUAUCGAAAGAUAUGCAGCGGCAAACGGCUGAGUAACACGUAAGUAAUCCAUCCCAAAGUGGGGAAUAAUCCGCCGAAAGGUGGACUAAUACCGCAUGUGGUAGUGGAAUUAGUUUUUCAUUACUAAAGCUCACGGGCGCUUAGGGAAGAGCUUGCGCCCUAUCAGGUAGUUGGUGGGGUAACGGCCUACCAAGCCUUCGACGGGUAGCUGGUCUGAGAGGAUGUCCAGCCAGACGGGGACUGAGACACGGCCCCGACUCCUACGGGAGGCAGCAGCAGGGAAUUUUGCGCAAUGGGCGAAAGCCUGACGCAGCAACACCGCGUGAGGGAAGACAGCCUUCGGGUCGUAAACCUCUUUUAUCAGGGAAGAAUAAUGACGGUACCUGGUGAAUAAGUCACGGCUAACUACGUGCCAGCAGCCGCGGUAAUAC
rnacentral:rRNA from 1 species